AGAGAGAGAGAGAGGGAGAGAAGGAGAGAGAGAGAGAGCGAUCGACGGAAACAGGGAGGGGGAGAGGGAGGGAGGGAGGGAGGGGCUGAGUGAGAGAGGCGGAACCCAAACAGGAAGAGCCCGAGCUGGUGACACCGAUGAUCUGUUUACAGCCAGAAACACGGUCGAUCCCCGCAGAAGCAGAUCUCUGCCCCCGGAUGGAGACGGUCGAGGAAUGCCCGCCGGGCGAUGAGCUCUGUGAGGUGCGGGCCUUCGAGUCCGAGAUCAUCAUCGUCCCAGUCCUCCUCAUCGCCGCCUCCUGCAUCGUGGGCGGGUGCAUUCUGUGGA